GAUACUUGACUUGGAGGCUAAUAAAGUAAGUUUAGGUUUCCUUUAUGGAUGGAAACCCUAGCUUUUAGCCUAUAUAAAAACACCGGUCCCUAUAAGCCCUAGAACACACAACAUAAUGCUUCCCAUAGAGUAGUUGUAUUCCGCUAGGAGUUUAUAGAAGAUCUUGGUGUUGCCAUGCCCUGCCUGUUUUUGUGUUCGACUUCCAUGGCCGCCGUUGGAAUCAGGUCAGUGACUCCUUUGAUUGUGUUUUAAUUGUAUAAUCUUAUAAGGCUAACAAGAGAGGCUUAUAUUUUGGUCCUAGGUUUCUAUGAGCUCUCGGCAAAAUCAAUACACAAUUAGGAUAGAAGAAAAACCUGAGUUUCAAGAAAUCAGUCAUAUUGUAUGGUGAUUGCUCUCAGUUUUGUUCUGUUUCUAUUUCAAUUGCUGCAUACAGUGUGUAGGUGGGCAAUAUACUCCUUUGGUGUGUGAAAAAAAAUAGAAAGAAUUCUGCUUAUGAAAAAAACCAGAAAUUUUGGUUCAUUCGAAAAUAGGAUAUAACCUUGUUUGUAGGAAAUUUAAAACAACCAAGUGCUUGAAUUUUGAUGCUCUUGUACUCUAUACUUUUUAACACUUCAACUUUCUGAGAUUAAUCUGCAUUCUCUUUUGCUUGCACUAUGUUGGCUCCAAAGCAUGCAGAUUUCAGUAAAAGAAGAUAAAUAGAAAAAGGAGUCUGUAUUGUUAUCGGUUAACCGCAAGCAUUCAGAUUACUCAUCCUUUAAGCCUGAGAAACGACAAGUGGAGAAAACUGUUCAAACUGUUUUAGCAACUGUCAGUGAAAGUUGGUCACUGCAAAUGCUUGAAGUGGCUGAGAUCUAUAAAUCAAGUGUACAUGUCAAUCUCAUAUUAUAGCUUCUGUUGGGGUUGACACAGGAAAGCUUUAUUGUGCUUCAGAUGCCACGAUAUUGUGUUUACAUAUGUUGAAAAAGAGAACCUGGUUAAGCCGACAGAUAAAUCCAUUGUGGUGUUGGAUCCAAUAUUAUGUGAUGUACUAUUCAAGGGAGCCAUAAAAAAAAAGUAAGAAGGGGCAUGAGGUUCAAGUUCAAGGUGGCGUGAUUGUUGAUCUCGCAUAGCAUAUGAAUGAACAAUAUGAGAUCCCAAAGAAAUACAUAGAGGUUCUUGAGAAAACCAGGAGAUGAGAGGUUGAGAGAGGUACUAUUCUGAAGGGAAGGGGAUUCACAUUGGAAGCCUUGUGCAAAGCAAUGUCCCAUCCCAUAGAUGAUAACCAGUUACCUGAGGGUUUAAUUUCUUUAUCGAAAUUAUAUGUGGAAAGAUAGGAGGAGGUAUCAUCCAACUUUCAACUUUGACAACCUUGUGCAAUACUUAAGUUAUUUGUUUUCUUGUUGUCGAGACCUGAGAGCACAUACUUUUAGCUUAAUAACCGUAGCAUAGUGUUUCGAAAACGACCUUUGGAGUUGUAUAUACCCUCCAAAAACGAACCAAUAGAAGAAAGCUAUAAUUUUUGGUAA